AGUCAUAUGCUUGUCUCAAAGAUUAAGCCAUGCAUGUCUAAGUAUAAGCAAUCUAUACAGUGAAACUGCGAAUGGCUCAUUAAAUCAGUUAUCGUUUAUUUGAUAAUACUUUACUACUUGGAUAACCGUGGUAAUUCUAGAGCUAAUACAUGCUAAAAAUCCCUACCUCCGGCGGGGAUGUAUUUAUUAGAUAAAAAACCAAUGUCUUCGGACUCUUUGGUGAUUCAUAAUAACUUUUCGAAUCGCAUGGCCUUGCGCUGGCGAUGGUUCAUUCAAAUUUCUGCCCUAUCAACUUUCGAUGGUAAGAUAGUGGCUUACCAUGGUUUCAACGGGUAACGGGGAAU
rnacentral:rRNA from 2 species